GCCAGGUGCCGUAGCUCAUGCCUGUAAUCCAAGCACUUUGGGAGGCCAAGGUGGGAGGAUCACUUGAGCCCAGGAGUUCUGGACCAGCCUGGGCAACAUAGACCUCGUCUCUCUCUAUAAGUAAUUUUUUUAAAAAAAGGCUGGGUGCAGUGGCUCAUACCUGUAAUCCCAGCACUUUGGGAGGCCGAGGCGGGCGGAUCACGAGGUCAGGAGUUCAAGACCAGCCUGGGCAAUAUGGUGAAACCCCAUCUCU
rnacentral:sRNA from 1 species